UACGUAGGGUGCAAGCGUUAAUCGGAAUUACUGGGCGUAAAGCGUGCGCAGGCGGCUAUGCAAGACAGAUGUGAAAUCCCCGGGCUCAACCUGGGAACUGCAUUUGUGACUGCAUGGCUAGAGUGCGGCAGAGGGGGACGGAAUUCCGCGUGUAGCAGUGAAAUGCGUAGAUAUGCGGAGGAACACCGAUGGCGAAGGCAAUCCCCUGGGCCUGCACUGACGCUCAUGCACGAAAGCGUGGGGAGCAAACAGG
rnacentral:rRNA from 1 species